rnacentral:misc_RNA from 1 species
CUUGGUCAUGAGGAAGUAAAAGUCGUAACAAGGUCUCCGUUGGUGAACCAGCGGAGGGAUCAUUACUGAGUUAUCCAAAAACUCCCAACCCUAUGUGAACUUACCACUGUUGCCUCGGCGAGCUGCGCUACCCUGUAGCUACCUUUGUAGCGACCUGGGAGCGCGUUAUAGGCUCGCCAGAGGACCACUAAACUCUGUUUUAUUUUGUAUCUCUGAAUCUUACAACUGAAAUCAGUUAAAACUUUCAACAACGGAUCUCUUGGUUCUG